GAUGAAGAACGUAGCGAAAUGCGAUACGUAAUGUGAAUUGCAGAAUUCAGUGAAUCAUCGAAUCUUUGAACGCAUAUUGCGCUCUCUGGUAUUCCGGAGAGCAUGCUUGUUUGAGUAUCAGUAAACACCUCAACUCCCUUUUCUUUUUUGAAAUUGGAGCUGGACUUGAGUGAUCCCAACGCUUUCUUCCAAGAAAGUGGCGGGUUGCUUGAAAUGCAGGUGCAGCUGAACUUUUCUCUGAGCUAUAAGCAUAUCUAUUUAGUCUGCCUAAAAAACAGAUUAUUACCUUUGCUGCAGCUAACAUAAAGGAGACUAGUUCUUGUGCUGACUGAUGCAGGAUUCACAGAGACAGCUUCGGCUGACUUUGUAAACUCGAUCUCAAAUCAAGUAAGACUACCCGCUGAACUUAAGCAUAUCAAAGCGGAGGA
rnacentral:misc_RNA from 1 species